AAACGAAGCAAGAAUGGCGGAAAAGCAUAAUUCGGAUGCAAGGUACAUUUUGGAUGCCGGAAGACGAUCAAGCAUCAUCGAAGAAUCGAACACUAUAAAGAUUCAUGCUUCCGCACAUUGUAAAUCGAUAUUUUAAACGACGAAUUUUGUCACAGUAGGCGGUGUACUUGGAAAUUGUGAAAGUUAUAAUUAACUCGUAUUUUCUAAGGAUACUUAACGUUAA